rnacentral:rRNA from 1 species
UGGGGAAUAUUGGACAAUGGGCGCAAGCCUGAUCCAGCCAUACCGCGUGGGUGAAGAAGGCCUUCGGGUUGUAAAGCCCUUUUGUUGGGAAAGAAAAGCAGUCGGCUAAUACCCGAUUGUUCUGACGGUACCCAAAGAAUAAGCACCGGCUAACUUCGUGCCAGCAGCCGCGGUAAUACGAAGGGUGCAAGCGUUACUCGGAAUUACUGGGCGUAAAGCGUGCGUAGGUGGUUUGUUAAGUCUGCUGUGAAAGCCCUGGGCUCAACCUGGGAAUUGCAGUGGAUACUGGCUGACUAGAAUGUGGCAGAGGGUAGCGGAAUUCCUGGUGUAGCAGUGAAAUGCGUAGAGAUCAGGAGGAACAUCCGUGGCGAAGGCGGCUACCUGGGCCAACAUUGACACU